CCUACGGGUGGCUGCAGUGGGGAAUAUUGCACAAUGGGCGCAAGCCUGAUGCAGCCAUGCCGCGUGUGUGAAGAAGGCCUUCGGGUUGUAAAGCACUUUCAGCCGGGAGGAAGGCGGUGAGGUUAAUAACCUCAUCGAUUGACGUUACCCGCAGAAGAAGCACCGGCUAACUCCGUGCCAGCAGCCGCGGUAAUACGGAGGGUGCAAGCGUUAAUCGGAAUUACUGGGCGUAAAGCGCACGCAGGCGGUCUGUCAAGUCGGAUGUGAAAUCCCCGGGCUCAACCUGGGAACUGCAUUCGAAACUGGCAGGCUAGAGUCUUGUAGAGGGGGGUAGAAUUCCAGGUGUAGCGGUGAAAUGCGUAGAGAUCUGGAGGAAUACCGGUGGCGAAGGCGGCCCCCUGGACAAAGACUGACGCUCAGGUGCGAAAGCGUGGGGAGCAAACAGGAUUAGAUACCCCAGUAGUC
rnacentral:rRNA from 1 species